AGCUAGGGACCACGCAAGCACGACGCACCCAUCCUCAUCGACUACAACAGGAUCUUCUGCUCAAACAUUGAAUGAAGAGAAAAGAUGGUUUCUACAGAGAGAUAACAAGUUGAUGAAUGUGUCAAGAAGAUCACUGAAUGGAGAAAUAUGGAAGUGACAAUAAUUUCGUGGUUAUCAACCAAAAGGAUAUUGAUCCUCCACCCCUCCAUCUCCAAGCUAGAGCUGCGGUAACCAAUUCUGACUUGUCACUACAUGAUGGUUCUGCACUUACAUUCAACCUUGAUUUGUUUUGGGGUUCCAUUUUAGUUAAGAGAGUGUGUCAUGAUGUCCCCAGAUGAACUUGGAACAUGAAAGUUGUCUGACAUUAUACAUAAUAGUACUCUAUAAGCCAGAAAAUAACUAGUUAAGUU